GGUCUUUCUAGUGUGUUCAGUUUUGAUAGCUUUGAAUAUGUCACAACUUACAAGAUUGUUCUUCUGUACUUGGCUUUGGUACAACAAACAAAUCUUAUCCACCCGGAAGAUUGUUGUUCUGUAGCAUAAUAAGAGGAUCAAGUGGUGUUGCCGGUGCAAUUCGUUACUUUGUCGGAAUUGCCAUUUUGGAACUGGGAUCGACUUUGCUGCUAUAAAACUAAGGUCGGUCUUCAAGAACAUGUAUGAAUAUGUAAUUGCUGCUAAUGACAAGAAAAACCAACACUUGGUUCAAAUGGCUAGCUUCGUCAUGCUCUUGCUUAGAGAUGGAAAUAUGGGCUAGCCGAACAGUUUGGGUAAUGGGUUAAUACUGGGCAAUUUAAGUAACCCGGGUCAAUAACUACAGUAGCAAGCUAUUUAAAUAUAAAGCGGAUCUAAACCAAACAUUUAAGCACGGUGCUUAGUUUGAAUUUAGUAAAAAUGACUGAUUAGUCAUGUUUCCUUUGUUUCCUUCUUGUGCCUUCAAGUAUAUAUUUAUUGUUUUUAACCCGGUCAACGAUCGGGUAUUAAUCUAGUUAUAUGGAUGGAUAGUUUGUUUGAGCAUA